AGAGUUUGAUCAUGGCUCAGAACGAACGCUGGCGGCAGGCUUAACACAUGCAAGUCGAGCGCCCCGCAAGGGGAGCGGCAGACGGGUGAGUAACGCGUGGGAACGUACCCUUUACUACGGAACAACUCAGGGAAACUGGAGCUAAUACCGUAUGUGCCCUUCGGGGGAAAGAUUUAUCGGCAAAGGAUCGGCCCGCGUUGGAUUAGCUAGUUGGCGGGGUAAAGGCCCACCAAGGCGACGAUCCAUAGCUGGUCUGAGAGGAUGAUCAGCCACACUGGAACUGAGACACGGCCCAAACUCCUACGGGAGGCAGCAGUGGGGAAUAUUGGACAAUGGGCGCAACCCUGAUCCAGCAAUACCGCGUGGGUGAAGAAGGCCUUCGGGUUGUAAAGCACUUUUGUCCGGAAAGAAAACCAGCCUAGCUAAUACCCGGGCUGGGAUGACGGUACCCAAAGAAUAAGCACCGGCUAACUACGUGCCAGCAGCCGCGGUAAUACGAAGGGUGCAAGCGUUAAUCGGAAUUACUGGGCGUAAAGCGUGCGCAGGCGGUCGUUGCUAAGACCGAUGUGAAAGCCCCGGGCUCAACCUGGGAACUGCAGUGGAUGACUGGCAGGACUAGAAUAUGGCAGAGGGUAGCGUAGAAUUCCACGUGUAGCAGUGAAAUGCGUAGAGAUCAGGAGGAACAUCCGAUGGCGAAGGCAGCCUACCUGGACCAACACU
rnacentral:rRNA from 2 species